GAAACCAACAGGGAUUGCCUCAGUAACGGCGAGUGAAGCGGCAACAGCUCAAAUUUGAAAUCUGGCCCUUUCAGGGUCCGAGUUGUAAUUUGUAGAGGAUGCUUCGGCGAGGGCUCCCGUCUAAGUUCCCUGGAACGGGACGUCAUAGAGGGUGAGAAUCCCGUAUGUGAUGGGUUGCUCGAGCCAUGUGAAGCUCCUUCGACGAGUCGAGUUGUUUGGGAAUGCAGCUCUAAAUGGGAGGUAAAUUUCUUCUAAAGCUAAAUACCGGCCAGAGACCGAUAGCGCACAAGUAGAGUGAUCGAAAGAUGAAAAGCACUUUGGAAAGAGAGUUAAAAAGUACGUGAAAUUGUUGAAAGGGAAGCGCUUGCAACCAGACUUGUCCGCAGUUGUUCAGCCGGUCUCCUGACCGGCGUACUCUUCUGCGGCCAGGCCAGCAUCAGUUCGGGCGGUUGGAUAAAGGCCUCGGGAAUGUGGCUCUCUUCGGGGAGUGUUAUAGCCCGGGGCGGAAUGCAGCCAGCCUGGACUGAGGAUCUCGCUUCGGCAAGGAUGCUGGCGUAAUGGUUGUAAGCGGCCCGUCUUGAAACACGGACCAAGGAGUCUAACAUCUAUGCGAGUGUUUGGGUGUCAAACCCAUACGCGUAAUGAAAGUGAACGGAGGUGGGAACCCGCAAGGGCGCACCAUCGACCGAUCCUGAUGUCUUCGGAUGGAUUUGAGUAAGAGCAUAGCUGUUGGGACCCGAAAGAUGGUGAACUAUGCCUGAAUAGGGUGAAGCCAGAGGAAACUCUGGUGGAGGCUCGCAGCGGUUCUGACGUGCAAAUCGAUCGUCAAAUUUGGGUAUAGGGGCGAAAGACUAAUCGAACCAUGUAGCCCUU
rnacentral:rRNA from 1 species